GAUCAGCCUGGCCAACAUGGCGAAACCCCGUCUCUACUAAAAAUAACAAAAAUUAGCUGGGCGUGGUGGCAGGCACCUGUAGUCCCAGCUACUCGGGAGGCUGAGGCAGGAGAAUCACCAUGUGGGCCAGGCUGGUCUUGAACUCCUGACCUCAGGUGAUCCACCUGCCUUGGCCUCCCAAAGUGCUGGGAUUACAGGCGUGAGCCACCGCGCCCAGUGGAGUCUUUUUUUUUUUUUUUUUUUUUAAGAUGAGGCUCUAUGUUAUCCAGGCUGGUCUCAAACUCCUGGGCUAAGGGAUCUUCCCACCUCAUCCUCCUAGGUAGCUAGGAUUACAGGCACACGCCAUGGCACUCAGCUUUGAAGCCUUUUAUAACCUAUAGUAACCUUA
rnacentral:lncRNA from 1 species